UACGUAGGGUGCAAGCGUUAAUCGGAAUUACUGGGCGUAAAGCGUGCGCAGGCGGUUUUGUAAGUCUGUCGUGAAAGCCCCGGGCUCAAACUGGGAAUUGCGAUGGAGACUGCAAGGCUUGAAUCUGGCAGAGGGGGGUAGAAUUCCACGUGUAGCAGUGAAAUGCGUAGAGAUGUGGAGGAACACCGAUGGCGAAGGCAGCCCCCUGGGUCAAGAUUGACGCUCAUGCACGAACGCGUGGGGAGCAAACAGG
rnacentral:rRNA from 1 species